rnacentral:rRNA from 1 species
CCUACGGGAGGCUGCAGUGAGGAAUAUUGGUCAAUGGGCGUAAGCCUGAACCAGCCAAGUCGCGUGAGGGAUGAAGGCUCUAUGGAGCGUAAACCUCUUUUAUAAGGGAAUAAAGUGCGGGACGGGUCCCGUUUUGUAUGUACCUUAUGAAUAAGGAUCGGCUAACUCCGUGCCAGCAGCCGCGGUAAUAGGGGGGAGCCGAGCGUUACCCGGAUUUAUUGGGUUUAAAGGGGCCGUAGGCGGCCUUUUAAGGCAGCGGUGAAUGUCUGUGGCUCAACCAGAGAAUUGCCGUUGAAACUGGGAGGCUUGAGUGUGUUUGCGGCGGGAGGAAUGCGUGGUGUAGCGGUGAAAUGCUUAGAUAUCACGCAGAACCCCGAUUGCGAAGGCAGCUUGCCAAGCCAUGACUGACGCUGAUGCACGAAAGCGUGGGGAUCAAACAGGAUUAGAUACCCGAGUAGUC